rnacentral:rRNA from 1 species
GACGAACGCUGGCGGCGUGCCUAAUACAUGCAAGUCGAACGCAGUGGGGACGGGUGAGUAACCCGUGGGUAACCUAACAUCCGAGGGGAUAACACAUGGAAACAGGUGCUAAACCGAUACUGAUGGAUGGACCCGCGGUGCAUUAGCUAGUUGGUGGGGUAACGGUUCACCAAGGCAACGAUGCAUAGCCGGCCUGAGAGGCGGAUCAGCCACACUGGGACUGAGACACGGCCCAGACUCCUACGGGAGGCAGCAGUAGGGAAUCUUGGGCAAUGGGCGAAAGGCUGACCUAGCCACGCCGCGUGAGUGAAGAAGGUUUUCGGAUCGUAAAACUCUGUAGGUAGAGAAGCGGUAUCUAACCAGAAAGCAACGGCUAACUACGUGCCAGCAGCCGCGGUAAUAC